rnacentral:lncRNA from 1 species
ACAUAUGGAAGCUCCCAGGCUAGGGGUCGAUUCAGAGGUGCAGCUGCCAGCCUACACCAUAGCCACAGCAAUGCCAGAUCCAAGCCAUGUCUGCUGCAAACUACACCACAGCUCACGGCAAUGCCAGAUCCUUAACCCAACUGAGUGAGACCAGGGAUUGAAUCCGCAUCCUCAUGGCUUCAUUUCUGCUGAGCUGCAAUGGGAACUCCCUUUUUUUACAGUAAAAAGGAUGUGGCUUAGAAAAAUAUCCUUGUCAUUCCAAUUUUUUAAAGUAACACUCCCCAGGACCUUAUCAUAUUCCUGGUUCUUUAUAAAGAAGCCCCCUGUGUAUGUGUAAAUACUCAUGUAAUCCCCUUGACAGCCCUUGAGGUGGAUACGCUAAUUCCCAUUUUACUGAUGAAGAAACAAGGGCACAGAGGUUGCCCCUUGCCACUACCCACCUUCCCAGUGGUCGAAGGAGAGUGAUCUGUACUACCUCUCUGUGUAAAACUGAUUCAGAUGGGCAGUCAAGAUUGAAACCUAAAUUCAGCACUGCCAUGACCUAUGGUGUAGGUCACAGGUGCAGCUUGGAUCCCACAUUGCUAUGGCUGUGGUGUAGGCCGGCAGCUGCAGCUCCAAUUCAGCUCCUAGCUUGGAACCUCCAUAUGCUGUGGGUAUGGUCCUAAAAGGCAAAAAGUAAAAAACAAAAGCAUGAUGUACAUUGAGGUUUGUGUUAAAAGAUCCCUUAACGAUACAUACCAAAUAUUAUAGUCUAAAUGUUGACGUUAUAAACAAGACCAAUCAUAAUUCAAAAACCCCUUUUUAGUGACUGUUAAAAUUUGUCUGGGAGUUCCUGCUGUGGCUCAGCAUGUUAUGAACCCAACUAGUAUCCAUGAGGAUGUGGGUUUGAUCCGUGGCCUCACUCAGUGGGUUAAGAAUCCGGCAUUGCCAGGAGCUACAGUGUAAGUCCAAUGUGGCUCGGAUCUGGUGCCGCUGUGGUGUAGGCCAGCAGCUACAGCUCCAAUUCGACCCCUGGCCUGGGAACUUCCAUAUGCCACAGGUGUGGCCCUAAAAUAUGUGUGAUCUGAUUUAUAAAAGGGAUAAGAUUUGAGCCAAAAGGGAUAAGUUGAGCCAUGUCUUUUAAUUUGUAACUUUAACAAACUGAAUACCAAUUUUUCAAACCAAUGUAAAUUUUCUAGAUAGUCUUUUCUAUGCAUAAAUAUCAGCCUGAGGACCCUUCCCAACAAAGUCCUUACAUCAACCACUCUGUACAUGUGUUUACUGCCCAACUCCUAAAGGAGGCACAGCUGAGACAUUCAAGACCGGCCACUCGAGAAACAGAGGGUAAACACUCGGGCAUGUACUCGCCAGCCGUGCCAACUUGGGGAAUGAAUAACAAAUCGCCUAGAAUGUGUCAGAGACUUUUCUGGGUACAUUGAUAAGCUAACAGGGAAAAACACCCCUGUCCUUCUGGAGUGGACCAGCAAGGAAAAGACACAAGAGAAAUAAAUGGGAAUGGCCGUAUUUAAACCAGGUGCAAAACACCAAGGGAUAAGAGACGCUGUAAUUCUACCCCCUCUAUCACACACCUCUUGCCUAGAAAAAGCUGCUUAUGAACCAGCACAACCCGCACAUUCCGCUGACGUAGUCCCUCUACUUACCUAUCAUAUGCAUAGCAAGCCCAACUAUUUCUAAAUGUCCAUGUGCUAUUCUAGUUCUCCCUGGAUCUAGUGCCACAGUGUAAGUCUCCUGAUGAAGCAGUAUCCGCUGAGCACGUGUGGUUUUUCAGGCCAUCUCCCAUCCACUCCCCACCAAACAGCUCCCUAAUUUCCCUGAAGGAAAUGACUGCAGCCCCACCACGUGCAGUUGGCGGGGGGCGGGGGGGGGGGGGCACACAUCAAGAGCUCUGUCUUUUUUCAUCCAAGACACAGACAUGCAAUUCAAGUAUCACCAAGUGAAUUGACUCUUCUGAGACUGUGACUUGAGCUGGAAGACAGCAAGACAGGAAAAGGCCAAAGGGUGACUAUUCAGGUACCAGCACCCAGAGGGAGUCUGAGGAGUUUCUGCUGGCCCCAAACUGGAACCGCCCUCUGAGGCAGGACUGCACCCAUUCUGUGAGUUACUCUAUCAGCAAAUUAUUUUUGUGUGUGAUGUAGCCAAUGGUUCCCAGCUGACAUUUGAAAAACUUUAACAAAAUAUGUUCACAUGUAUUGGAUCACAUAAACUAUGUAUUUUCCCUUCAGCUGCAAGGUAAGGUUUCAAAUCCAGUAAUCAACAUUAGCCUAAAUAGUCUGCAAAAACUUCUCCCCACUCAGCAUACCCCCCUCAACUAUUAUGCAUUUGCCUUUUUAGCAAUGGGGGUGGGGGUGGGGGGCGCACACACAUCCAAGAAAUGCAGAAGUUCCUGGACCAGGGAUUGAAAUCACCCCACAGCAGUAACCAGAGCCACAGCAGUGACAAUGCAAGAUCCUUAACCUGGUGAGCCACAGGGAACUCCAACAAUCAGGUGAGAUAGAUAUAUCUCUCUCUCUCAAGUGAAACAUAUACGAGUAUGUAUAUAUGUGCUAUAUGUGUAUGUACACAUGUAUAUACAUACACAUGCAUACAUGUGUGUGCAUGUAUGAUGUGUAUCAAGUAUAUUAUAUAUAUAUAUCUCAAGUGAGUGAUGGAUAAACAAUUUCUGGAAGCAGGCAAAAUAUAAUUUAGGAGUAGAAGAAAGAAAAAGCAAAUUAUUCCAUUUGCAUUUUCUAAGGAAUAGGCCUAUCCAAUUUUCAUUCGACACAAGUGUGUUUAUUAUUUUAACUAUCUUCAGCAGUUUUGCAUGUAUCCACCCACUCUUGGCUUUUUACCCAAUUCUCCCAAGCCUGUGCCAUCUUACAAACUGGCUGCAUGGCCUCCGUUUCCCCAUAUGUAUAACAGGGAAACGGUGACUCGUGGGUAGAGACAAUUAGGACUGGAAAGUCUGUCUGGAUUCAGGUACACAGGUCGCUCUGCAAUGAGGCUCUUGAGAAGAUCCAAAUCUUUCCCAAUCGACUGGCAGGAAUUUAAUUCUACAGCCAUCUCUAUUCUUCCUGAGAGACAUACGCUGUGUUUCAUACCAAAACCUCCUGCCAUGAAAGAGUAUCUCCUUCUCUCCCUUUUUUGGAUCUGCCUAAAUGCUGGUCUGCUGUAAACAAGUGACAGGUGUGCUGGGAUGCGGGUUCCCAAGGUGGAGCUCUUGUUUUCUAUUUGUGCAUUAACCUGAAAGAGAGUGGGAAGCAGUGAUCUAGAUCAGUGAGUCUCAAGCUUUAACGGGUAUUUAAAUCACCUAGGAAUCUUUUUUUGUUUGUUUGUUUGUUUGUUUGCUUUUUUAGGGCUGCAUUCACAGCAUGGCUGCCAGCCUCCGCCACAGCAAUGCUGGAUCCAAGUUGCAUCUGCAACCUAUACCACAGCUCACAGCAACACCGGAUCCCCGACCAAAUGAGCAAGGCCAGGGAGCAAACCCACAUCCUCAUGGGUACUAUUCGGAUUCAUUUCUGCCGUGCCACAACAGACACUCCCUUACCUGAGAAUCUUGUGAAAACAAAAAUUCUGACUGAAUGGAUGUAGGGUGGAACUGAGACUCUGCAUUUCUAACCAGCUCUCACAGGAUGCCCAUCUGCAGCCAACACCUAACACUCAACCAGGUGUCUAGAGUACGUGUUUCACUAGACUUUCCUGUGAAACAGAGAAAGACACGGUUAACCAGUUUUAAAAUUUCUACUGCUUCCCGGUCUCUUGGUUAGAGUAACUUCAGAAGUGUCUUUGGUUUCUUCUA